CCUACGGGUGGCAGCAGUCGAGAAUCAUUCACAAUGGGGGAAACCCUGAUGGUGCGACGCCGCGUGGGGGAAUGAAGGUCUCCGGAUUGUAAACUCCUGUCAUGUGGGAGCAAAUUAAAAAGCUAGAACCACAAGAGGAAGAGACGGCUAACUCUGUGCCAGCAGCCGUGGUAAUACAGAGGUCUCAAGCGUUGUUCGGAAUCACUGGGCGUAAAGCGUGCGUAGGCUGUUUCGUAAGUCGUGUGUGAAGGGCGGGGGCUCAACCCGCGGACGGCACAUGAUACUGCGAGACUAGAGUAAAGGAGGGGAAACCGGAAUUCUCGGUGUAGCGGGGAAAUGCGUAGAUAUCAGGAGGAACACUCGGGGCGAAGGCGGGUUCCUGGACAGUAACUGACGCUGAGGCACGAAGGCCAGGGGAGCAAAAGGGAUUAGAUACCCCGGUAGUC
rnacentral:rRNA from 1 species